AAUUCCGUACAUCGCCAUAGAGUAGUUGAAAAACAAAAAGGGGUUCCGAAAGUACAAGUUGCUGUGACUGAAUCGAUGAUUGAGAGGGUCGUCUCGACGAAAGAUAUAGAAAUUUGGCCAUAGUUUAGAUUAGGAAUACGUCAAUGUAAUAAUAGUGGACUACAUGUUUCGUCCGUGCAGAAUGGCACUUUUUACCUCACGAAAUUCACCACCAUGCAUAGCUGCGCUACGUAAACAAAGUUGUUGAUGUAGCGUGAUCGUGGUGUCCGAGUGCUGCGAGUUUCAAUACUGUUUAUGUAGUCAUUGAGAGUUUAAACAAAGUUUCUUCUGAGAAGAGGAAUUCGAUGGAUGCAUUCAACGUGGACAACGAAAUCAUAAUUUCGUUUGCAUCAUCCUAAGGACCAGUGCAAGUUGAAAUGGGCUUCCAGCCAACAACUUCAACAGCAAUUUGCCAUGAAAAUCAGCAAGAAAGGUACUUCAUUUACAUUGAUGAUGUCAUAUCCCCUGGACCCCACAACUUCACAGGUUACAGAGAAAAUUCAAGAACUUCUGCAAAAUGUGGGACUUGGAUAGAAUCAAUAAUGUAUUUGUGAGCCCAGAGCAAUGGAUAUAUUGUGCAACAUACUAAAGUGUGAAUUUAAUGGAAAACAAGUACAUGUACUCAUGUAUUACAUGUCUUUUUUAAAGACAAUAAUAUUGUAUAAAUAUAGAGGAAGUGUCAUUGUUGAUUAUUCUAAGUUUUUGAUAUAUCAAAAUCAGUAAACAUUUCUAAAUGAAAAUAAAAUACCAAUUUUAAAACUUUAA